AGUUGUAUUGUACCCAGGUGAAACCUGUGCGGUGUUCCGCAAGGGGCCACUCGGAUACCUCCUCCAAGACCCGUCAGAUGAAGGUCGGCGGAUAAAAAAGGACACCAAAGUUCAGAACAAGUCUGUAGCAAUGAGGGAGGACCUGGUACAUCAGAAUGCUCUGACUGUGGUCCGUCACAGAGGAGGGGAUGCCUCCGACUGGCGCGAGGUGUAAGGAGAGUACAUCCUGCAGUUUGUAAAAUAUAAAGGAAAAUCUUUCCGGUGGCUUCUGGAAAAUGAUGUUGGGUACACCAUGUAUGUGAUGAAAAAUGUCCAGAAGGAAGAGGCUGCAGGGAUCGCCAUGGCUGAAAGGCAUAGUGAGGAUAGCCUGCAGUCAUUGGUACAGUAUGCCCUGGGUUUUCCGGAGAUAAAGUCUCUUCAGGAUUAUGAGGCCAGCAGAGUGAGUGCUGCAGCAGAAGUGUCCUGUGAAGAUGAUCAGCUUGUUGGCUUUGGUUUACCAUCUAAGAGCACACGGAAGGAGAUUUGGGAUGGCAGAGGUGAUGGCUACGCGGCCUUUAUCAUGGAAAAGAGCUGCAUUCAAGGAAGACGGAUGUAUAAGCUGCAGCAGUACUUGCGCAAGAAGCAUCAGUCUGCCUCAGCUAGCACAAGGACCUCCACCAAACCCAUUGGAAUGGAUGAUGACAAAGAGUUGGAGGAGGCAAUGCUGAGUGUCUGACCUGAAAAACUUGAAGCCGACAGCUUUACUGUGCCAGCAGCAGCAGCAGCAGCAGAAGUACCCACACCCAGAGUGCCUUCAGGAGCGCUAUAAUCAGGGGUUACAGCGGGCCGGACCGAGUCCGUAAGUUGUGCUCGC